rnacentral:lncRNA from 1 species
CCUCUUCUACUACACACCAUCUUCGUAUAACCAAUCACAACAUAUAUGACUACUAGAGUCCAUCUAUCCAAUCACACCAAUAGGUGGCGUUGUGCCACUCAUAUAAUUGUAGUUGAGUUGCCAUACAUAAAUUUGUGUUCUAGCUGCCAUAAAUGCAAUAUAAACUGCCAUAUCGAACUUCGUCCAUCAUAUCAUAACCUACGUAAAAACACAACCAAAUCAUAAUCAUAUAUAUCAUACUUACAUAUAUCAUAAACCAUACGUCAUGCAUACUUACAUAGUUACAUAUAAAUCAUAACAUAGCACAUGAUUUAUGUAACACCACUAACUCAUACCCUACGUCAGAACAGGGUUAUGGAGCGUUACCAGACUUAUAACUCAAUUAAUCAAACAUUUCACGUACAUUUCUCAUUCAAAUCAUAAAUCAUUCAAAUUCAUUCAUAUAGUCUCUAAUACGAGCCCUCGAGGCCCUAAAUGGACAUUAAAAAUAGUUCAGGAAUAAAUCGAAUACUCAAGAAAUUUUUCGAAAAACAUGGAAAUUUUUCAAAGGUACAGAGGACACACGCCCAUGUGGCCAGGCCGUGUACCCUUCAAAGUGGCCUCACGCGCCCAUGUGCUAAACCAUGUGAAAACUGGAAGGUUUACUGACUUGUGCCUCACAGCCAAGCCACACGCCCGUGUACUAGGCCGUGUGAAGCUACUGAAUUGAUUUCAAAAGAAGUUACAGGGGACACACGGCCGUGUCACCUGACCGUGUGUCACACACGAUAGAGACACACACCCGUGUCUCUGCCCGUGUGGACAAAAACAGGUCAUUUUCUAAGCCAUAUUUCUCACCUAAAUUGGAACCAACUUAAACACAACAAUUUGCAUAUAACCAUGGCAUAAAUAGGCAUUCAAAACCAACCAAUAUCAAGCUUAUAACAUGUUAUAAUAUCGCAUACCAUCAUGAUACAUAUUGGCACCUCAAUUGGCCACUUAUAAUUAUGCAAACUAAUUGAUACCCAAAAAUCCCAUUUACAACUAUCACACACGCAUAUGAUAGACAUGUAUCAAUAUGACAAGGCCAUUUACUCAUAUAUACAUAACAAAUUGUAUCAAAAUAAGCCAAAUCAAAUGACUAAAUACUUGACCAAACCAUAUAGACUGCAUUAGCCAUACAACCUAUACAUGCCAUUAUAACCAAAACUAUAAAACCAUAAGUACCAAAAUAGCCGAUAGAUAAUGUGAUGAAAUCCCCGACAACUUCCAACUCGAAUGAGCUUCCGAAACAUUAUAAAUCACGGAAAAAUAAAACAGAGUAAGCAAUUAAGCUUUGUAAGUUCGUAACUAAAAAAAAUAAAGUUCACUACUUCAAUUUAUAAGCAUAAUCCAUUUAAGUCAAUCCAACGUGUCUUAGCCUUAGCUUAAGCAACAAUAACCUUUCAAGGUUAAAUAUCACAAUUUAAUUUAGCCCAAAAGCCUAACAUAUAAUCAUCAACCAAGUUAGCCUUAUAAACACAUAUAUAAACCAAAAAUCACCUUUUCAUGAUCACAAACAUAUUUCCAUUAAAGCAUUCACCAUUGCAAUGCAUAAUAUAAAAGUUUAACAUGGUAUAAUCCAACCACAACUUGGCCAAAGCCUAAGCACAUAUACAACAACCAUGUUAGUCAUGUAAAUUCACCUAUGAAUCAAUAAUCAUGGAUGAACUCAAUAAUUAAUCAAGUUGCAUAAACAUUAUUAUUAUUAUUAUUAUUAUUACUAUUAUUAUUAUUACUAUUACUAUUAUUAUUAUUAUUACUAUUACUAUUACUAUUACUAUUUCUAUUACUAUUACUAUUACUAUUACUAUUUUUACUAUUACUAUUACUAUUACUAUUACUAUUAUUAUUACUAUUAUUAUUAUUAUUAUUAAUACUAUUAUUAUUAAUAAUACUAUUACUAUUAUUAUUACUAUUACUAUUAUUAUUAUACUAUUACUAUUAUUAUUAUUAUAAUUAUUACUAUUAUUAUUAUUACUAUUAUUAUUAUUAUUAUUAUUAUUAUUACGAUUAUUAUUAUUACUAUUAUUAUUAUUAUUACUAUUAUUAUUAUUAUUAUUACUAUUAUUACUAUUAUUAUUAUUACUAUUAUUAUUAUGAUUAUUAUUAUUAUUACUAUUAUUAUUAUUAUUACUAUUAUUAUUACCUAAUACCAACCUAAUAUGUCAAAUUUCAUGAUUGAAAUCCAUGUACAUCCACUCCCUCAAUUAAUGGUUUUAUUACUCAAUAAGGACCUCCACAUUAAAUUUCUAUAGCUAUUUAAUAGUUUAAGCUAAUAGGACACAACUUUCGCUCUUUACACAAUUUAGUCCUUUUUAUCAAAUUGAACAUGUAAACGAUAAAAUUUCCUAACGAAAUUUUUAUACCAUAUCACUAUCAUGCUGUAGAUCAUAUAAUAAUAUAAAAUCAAUUUUUCUACAUCGAAUUUGUGGUCCCGAAAUCACUGUUCUUAUUUCACUAAAAAUGGGCAGUUAUUAUUUAAUGGUAACAUUUCCUACUUAGCACACUUCCUAAGCCUACCCACACGACCUGCAAAAAUUACACACGAACACAACCAGGUUGCAAAACACAAAUAGUCAUAUGGCCUACACACACAGCUGGGUGGCAACACACAAUUAGUCAUAUAGCCUACACACAUGACCGUGUGACACUGGGCAGUUUUGAAAUACAACCUAGUUUCGCGAUUAAAUCGAGUUUUUGGGUUGAAUUCACACACCUGAUAGCGAGAUUGAUCCACCACACAACCGAACACCUAGAACCCUACAAACGGAAUCAAAACUAAACCUUUAAAAAUUCGAUUUAGCACAAAGAUUUCCAUUUAAAUUCACUCUUUUCUCAAGAAAAUAGUCCCUAAAUCAAUAAUGAGCACUUACCGUAACUUAUAGCGACUUCUCCAAGAACUUAAUUUGUUAGAGGAUCGUCUAUCACCACACGCUCUUUUCCUAAAACAAAAGAUUCCACAAUAAAUAAAAUUUCAUCACAAGGAGAAUCCAAAUCAAUACCCAAAGCCUUUAAUAAAAAAUGAACUUAAAUUGCAAAAUACCAUAUCAAGCAAUUAAAUAACAAAAUCAAAACCCCGAAUUACUCAAGACAAGUAAAGAUCCCAAAACUCACCAACGGCACCUUACAAGAUCAGCGUCUAAAUGGCCUUAAGCAACGAACAAGAAAUUUCCCACAAAAUUAAAGAACUAACAAAAUAGAAAAAGAAAAUAACAAGAGAAAAAAAUAAUUUGACAGAUGUCGCAACAACAAGACCAACCCCAAAGCUAAUUGAAAAGCAAAGAAAACAAAAAACAAAUGAAAACAAGUAGUAGCAAUAGCAAAAAGGGAGAAUUUGGAUGGCAGCGGGAAGGUAAGAAACGUGAGCAAGG